GGUCGCUUAGCUCAGUUGGUUAGAGCGUGGUGCUAAUAGAUCUUCUCUGUGACACGCCAAGGUCGCGAGUUCGACCCUCGUAGUGACCA